GAGCUGUGGUGGGCUCCACCCAGUUCGAGCUUCCCGGCUGCUUUGGUUACCUAAUCAAGCCUGGGCAAUGGCAGGCGCCCCUCCCCCAGCCUCGCUGCCGCCUUGCAGUUUGAUCUCAGACUGCUGUGCUAGCAAUCAGCGAGACUCCGUGGGCGUAGGACCCUCCGAGCCAGAGAACCAUGGAGUCUGGCAGUACCGCCGCCAGUGAGGAGGCACGCAGCCUUCGAGAAUGUGAGCUCUACGUCCAGAAGCAUAACAUUCAAGCGCUGCUCAAAGAUUCUAUUGUGCAGUUGUGCACUGCUCGACCUGAGAGACCCAUGGCAUUCCUCAGGGAAUACUUUGAGAGGUUGGAGAAGGAGGAGGCAAAACAGAUUCAGAAUCUGCAGAAAGCAGGCACUCGUACAGACUCAAGGGAGGAUGAGAUUUCUCCUCCUCCACCCAACCCAGUGGUUAAAGGUAGGAGGCGACGAGGUGCUAUCAGCGCUGAGGUCUACACGGAGGAAGAUGCGGCAUCCUAUGUUAGAAAGGUUAUACCAAAAGAUUACAAGACAAUGGCCGCUUUAGCCAAAGCCAUUGAAAAGAAUGUGCUGUUUUCACAUCUUGAUGAUAAUGAGAGAAGUGAUAUUUUUGAUGCCAUGUUUUCGGUCUCCUUUAUCGCAGGAGAGACUGUGAUUCAGCAAGGUGAUGAAGGGGAUAACUUCUAUGUGAUUGAUCAAGGA
ensembl:lncRNA novel transcript